rnacentral:lncRNA from 1 species
UUAGGUGACAGGAAAACAUUUAAUAUGUCACUUUAGACCUUGGAGAGCGGCCCAGCUAAGGUACAGAGCCAGAGGCACUAGCAGGUCACAGCCUUCUUAGGAGAUCACUUAUAAGCCCUCACUUCUGUAAUGAUCGGAUGACCUCUCCCCCAGGGCUGACUGGAGAACCAGUAAGAAUUUGUACCCAUGAGUAAUGGCCUGGCACAUGUGCAGAAGCUCAGCAGUCAUCUUGGCCAGUGGGCAUUUUCUCCCACCACCACUGGCACAAGCCUGAAGAGAGUCCACAGCAUUCCACAGAGAAGAGCAGCUGUCUAGACCCCCUGGCAUUCAGUGCAGGGUGGGCCAGGGGUGAUGGUUCAGAAGUCCUGUCACUGAGUGAUUAUUCCAGGUUGGACUAGCUCAUUUGGACUU